GUGCCAGCAGCGGCGGUAAUACGGAGGGUGCAAGCGUUAAUCGGAAUUACUGGGCGUAAAGCGCACGCAGGCGGUCUGUCAAGUCGGAUGUGAAAUCCCCGGGCUCAACCUGGGAACUGCAUUCGAAACUGGCAGGCUAGAGUCUUGUAGAGGGGGGUAGAAUUCCAGGUGUAGCGGUGAAAUGCGUAGAGAUCUGGAGGAAUACCGGUGGCGAAGGCGGCCCCUGGACAAAAGACUGACGCUCAGGUGCGAAAGCGUGGGGAGCAAACAGGAUUAGAUACCCUGGUAGUCCACGCCGUAAACGAUGUCGAUUGGAGUUGUGCCCUUGAGCGUGGCUUCCGGAG
rnacentral:rRNA from 1 species